rnacentral:rRNA from 1 species
GGAGAAAAGUAGGGGAUCGAAAGACCUUAUGCUUUUGGAGCGGCCGAUGUCUGAUUAGCUAGUUGGUAAGGUAAUGGCUUACCAAGGCGACGAUCAGUAGUUGGUCUGAGAGGACGGCCAGCCACACUGGGACUGAGACACGGCCCAGACUCCUACGGGAGGCAGCAGUGGGGAAUUUUGGACAAUGGGCGCAAGCCUGAUCCAGCAAUGCCGCGUGAGUGAAGAAGGCCUUCGGGUUGUAAAGCUCUUUCAGUCGAGAAGAAAAGGUUGUGACUAAUAAUUGCAAUUUAUGACGGUAUCGACAGAAGUAGCACCGGCUAACUACGUGCCAGCAGCCGCGGUAAUACGUAGGGUGCGAGCGUUAAUCGGAAUUACUGGGCGUAAAGGGUGCGCAGGCGGCACUGUAAGUCAGAUGUGAAAUCCC